UACGUAGGGUGCAAGCGUUGUCCGGAAUUACUGGGCGUAAAGAGCUCGUAGGUGGUUUGUCGCGUUGUUCGUGAAAUCCCCACGGCUUAACUGUGGGCGUGCGGGCGAUACGGGCAGACUGGAGUACUGCAGGGGAGACUGGAAUUCCUGGUGUAGCGGUGGAAUGCGCAGAGUAAUCAGGAGGAACACCGGUGGCGAAGGCGGGUCUCUGGGCAGUAACUGACGCUGAGGAGCGAAAGCAUGGGGGAGCGAACAGG
rnacentral:rRNA from 1 species